UACGUAGGGGGCGAGCGUUGUCCGGAUUUACUGGGCGUAAAGGGUGCGUAGGCGGCCUUGUAAGUCAGAUGUGAAAGGCUACGGCUCAACCGUAGUAAGCAUUUGAAACUGCAGGGCUUGAGUGCAGGAGAGGAGAGUGGAAUUCCUAGUGUAGCGGUGAAAUGCGUAGAUAUUAGGAGGAACACCAGUGGCGAAGGCGACUCUCUGGACUGUAACUGACGCUGAGGCACGAAAGCGUGGGGAGCAAACAGG
rnacentral:rRNA from 1 species